GCGCAGCAGUCGCGAAAACUCUGCAAUACGCGAAAGCGCGACAGGGCUACCCCGAGUGUCGUCCGCUGAGGACGACUUUUCCACGCUGUAAGGAGGCGUGGGAAUAAGGAGAGGGCAAGUCUGGUGUCAGCCGCCGCGGUAAUACCAGCUCUCCGAGUGGUCGGGACGUUUAUUGGGCUUAAAGCGUCCGUAGGCGGCUCAACAAGUCUCCCGUUAAAUCCAACGAUUCAAGCGUUGGACUGCGGGAGAUACUGCUGGGCGAGGAGGCGAGAGAGGCCGACGGUAUUCCCGGAGUAGGGGUGAAAUCUUAUAAUUCCGGGAGGAGCACCAGUGGCGAAGGCUGUCGGCUAGAACGCGCUCGACGGUGAGGGACGAAAGCUGGGGGAGCGAACCGGAUUAGAUACCCGGGUAGUCC
rnacentral:rRNA from 1 species